rfam:Tupaia belangeri cont1.121103, whole genome shotgun sequence.
CCCUUUGGACUUUUCCUCUCUCUAGGUUCCGUGCUAACCUCUCCUGCGAGCUCACUCUACUCCUCCUCCCUUUAGCUUUCUCGAGGUUAUUCCUUCACUUAACAUGUUGCCUCUGGU